AUUGAACGCUGGCGGCAGGCCUAACACAUGCAAGUCGAACGGUAACAGGAAGCAGCUUGCUGCUUCGCUGACGAGUGGCGGACGGGUGAGUAAUGUCUGGGAAGCUGCCUGAUGGAGGGGGAUAACUACUGGAAACGGUAGCUAAUACCGCAUAAUGUCGCAAGACCAAAGAGGGGGACCUUCGGGCCUCUUGCCAUCGGAUGUGCCCAGAUGGGAUUAACUUGUUGGUGGGGUAACGGCUCACCAAGGCGACGAUCCCUAGCUGGUCUGAGAGGAUGACCAGCCACACUGGAACUGAGACACGGUCCAGACUCCUACGGGAGGCAGCAGUGGGGAAUAUUGCACAAUGGGCGCAAGCCUGAUGCAGCCAUGCCGCGUGUAUGAAGAAGGCCUUCGGGUUGUAAAGUACUUUCAGCGGGGAGGAAGGGAGUAAAGUUAAUACCUUUGCUCAUUGACGUUACCCGCAGAAGAAGCACCGGCUAACUCCGUG
rnacentral:rRNA from 1 species